CCUACGGGGGGCUGCAGUGGGGAAUCUUGGACAAUGGGCGCAAGCCUGAUCCAGCCAUGCCGCGUGAGUGAAGAAGGCCUUAGGGUUGUAAAACUCUUUCGCCGGUGAAGAUAAUGACGGUAACCGGAGAAGAAGCCCCGGCUAACUUCGUGCCAGCAGCCGCGGUAAUACGAAGGGGGCUAGCGUUGUUCGGAAUUACUGGGCGUAAAGCGCACGUAGGCGGGUUUGUAAGUAGGGGGUGAAAUCCCAGGGCUCAACCCUGGAACUGCCUUCUAAACUGCAAGCCUGGAGGUCAGGAGAGGCGAGUGGAAUACCGAGUGUAGAGGUGAAAUUCGUAGAUAUUCGGUGGAACACCAGUGGCGAAGGCGACUCGCUGGACUGAUACUGACGCUGAGGUGCGAAAGCGUGGGGAGCAAACAGGCUUAGAUACCCGGGUAGUC
rnacentral:rRNA from 1 species